AUGAUUCCCUGCGCAGAACCUCCCCCUCAUACAAUUGAAAUUUAAAACGAACUGGACAAUAAUCUGUACAUCACUAUUAAACUCCUAAAUCAUUGUAUUUCCAACAAAUGAUGGAUGACAGUCUUUUUCUUAAAAUUUCUUGAUGCCCUCCACCCCCCUUCCCCCUGAUAAGAGACGUUUUAUUGCUGGGAAAUAAAUUAUGUUUUUGUAUAGAACAGCUUGAAAGAUUG